AGUUCUCGAACGAUCGCCGAAGUUAAGCAACGUCGAGCCUGGUCAGUACUAAGAUAGGCGACUGCUUGGGAAUACUAGGUGCUGUAAG